rnacentral:lncRNA from 1 species
GACCAACGUGAUCAGCAGAAUAUCAACCGUACUGUUCAGACGGUUCAAAUGGCUCCAUCCAUCCAAAAUGCUCCAGUACCGCCGCCAAGGCAUGUCAUCGAUGUAAUAACUGGUGGAUCUGUAAGGAAGUUGAUAGGGAAGAAGAGAAAGACUUACCUGGAUUCGGUCAUGUCUGUGACAGAUGCUCCCCUGAAGAUUGACAGACCAUUCCCAGGAACCGUCAUAUCAUUUACGGACGCAGAUUAUCCUUCGGAGCCCAUCGAGCCACACGAGGGAGCCUUGGUGAUCACAGCGCAAGUGGGCUCGGUAGACGUGAAACGCAUGAU